rnacentral:lncRNA from 1 species
ACUCAAGAAGAAUCUGAGACUCAGAGAGUGAAGUGAAGACCACAAAGGGGCAGAGCCCCAGGUUUCUGACUCCUCGCUCACUGUGGCUCCUCUGCUUGGGUGCUAUCUGAAUAAUACCAUGAGUCGCAUCAUUAAGACAAGAAGGGGUCUUUAUGAUCUGUAUCUUGUGAUACCAAUCCUGCCGACCUCCUAUCUCAUCCUGUGACUAAGAAUGCCUAACCUCCUGGGAAUACAGCCCAGUAAGUCUCAGCCUUAUUUUAUGCAGCCCCUAUGCAAGAGGGAGUCACUCUUGUUCCAAGGCCUCUGAAGGCAAUGUAGCUAUUUGCGUACAUUCAAUAAGAAUCUGUUUUCUCCCCUCUCCCCUCUCCCCUCUCCCCUCUCCCC